CGCGAUGUCUGAAAACAUUGAAAGCAUACGCUAUUGAAAAGUAGUGGGUUCAGUGCAUAGCCCAAACGGCAUUCACUUAAAGAAAAAUAUUUCAUAAGGAAAGUGGUUUUUUCGGGUUUUUAAGGGAUGUUAAAAUUUGAUUGUAUCCUACGUAUCUAUCGUGAAAACAAUACCAACCCUUUUCCACUAAUAGAUAAAGCAUAUGAUCCAUGAAGGACAUAAG
rnacentral:lncRNA from 1 species